rnacentral:rRNA from 1 species
UACGGGGGAGGCAAGCGUUGUCCGGAAUCACUAGGCGUAAAGGGCAAGUAGGCGGAUUGAUAAGUUACGGGUUAAAUUUAGAGGCUCAACCUCUAACCAGCUUGUGAUACUGUCAAUCUAGAGUCAGGCAGGGGAAGACGGAAUUCCCGGUGUAGCGGUGGAAUGCGCAGAUAUCGGGAAGAACACUCAUGGCGAAGGCAGUCUUCUGGGCCAUGACUGACGCUCAAUUGCGAAGGUGUGGGUAUCAAACAGGAUUAGAUACCCUGGUAGUCCACACAGUAAACGAUAAACACUAGGUGUCGGGAGAGAGAAUCUUUCGGUGCCGUAGCUAACGCGUUAAGUGUUUCGCCUGGGGAGUACGAUCGCAAGAUUGAA